AGACUUCCCUGAAGGUGGGUUCAUUAUCUUCGCAGCGGGGUGUGAAAGCCAGUUCAGCUCCUGAACCCCACAAUAGUUCAACAGCCUUUUGAUGCCUGAUCGGUUUCAGAAGACAGAAUCUGGACGACAUGGACAUUUUCUUUCGAGAUUCCUCCAGCAGAGGUGAAGUCAGACGUUGACAGCGACAUCUUAACAGGUCAAUGUGUGCAGUUCACCAGAAGCGACGGGUCCAAAUGACGGGCAAAGUCAUUUACCAAGUCCCAGGUAAGCCUUCCAUGUACUUCAUCAAGUUUGAUGGCGACGUCCACAUCCACGUCUAUAAUCUGAUGGAAAAGAUCUGUUAAGGUGAAAUUCACAAAGUGAGGGGGACAUAGAUGGGGAAUUUAUAGGAUUGGGGGGAAAUGUUUGUUUUUCUGUGUUUCAGAUACCCACGGGCCUUUGACAACCCCAGUAUCUUUUCCAGUGGAAUUUGUUUUUGCUCUAAAUAUUAAAAUGUGCGAUG
ensembl:lncRNA